rnacentral:rRNA from 1 species
UACAGAGGAGCCAAGCGUUGUCCGGAUUGACUGGGCGUAAAGGGCGCGUAGGCGGCCUCUGCAAGUCAGUUGUGAAAUCUCCGGGCUUAACUCGGAAAGGUCAACUGAUACUGCAGGGCUAGAGUGCGGAAGGGGCAACUGGAAUUCUCGGUGUAGCGGUGAAAUGCGUAGAUAUCGAGAGGAACACCUGCGGCGAAGGCGGGUUGCUGGGCCGACACUGACGCUGAAGCGCGAAAGCUAGGGGAGCGAACGGG